GUACAUAUCUUUAAAGAAAAAAGAAUGAUUGGUUUUCAAGGUGCAGGAGGGCUUAUUUAUCUAGCAAUAAGAAAACAAUGUUAGCUCUCCCACAGUAGCCUUUAAUAGCUCUGCAUUCCAGCCUGAGUACAGAUGGAGCUUUGAUAUUAUAGCAGUUUUGCAGUGACUGUGUGCUGUAUAUCCUGCUGCUAAUCCUAUGGUGGAAGUCAGUGCCUCUUAACACCUGGUGCCAAGACACAACCAUUUGCCUGAACCUGACACAACUGAUUUCAGCAACAGGAUAUGCAGUGUCGUGGGCUGGAUUUGGGCAUAUCCUAGCUUGUGCUGUGACACAAACCCUGUUGGGCUGGAGACUUCACCAGUGCAGACCAAAAAGCUGUCCCUACCCCGAAGAGGUGUCAGACUCCCAAGCCCUUUAAAAACAAACUUCAGAUUCAUCACAUGGAAGUGAUCUCAUCGCAUUACAGAUUCGCCUUCCUGGGAAACUAAACUUCUGGUGUAAUCAUGGGAAAGUCUCACCUUCCCUUUUUUAGUUUCCUUUAACCAAGGUUCUAUUGAAAUCGGCUUGGCAGGCUAACAACUCAGAAGCUAAGAGACAAAAGACAACUCUUCAUUACUAUUAGGAUUUGUUUUAAUCUUAUGAUUUGCUUAUCAUUCUCAUGAUUCUGGGGAGAUGGCAAGCCAGUUUUGAAUACUUAAUGGCAUAUAUGUGAAUCUAUAGAGAAGGCAGGUCCCCUCAUAAUAUGUUUUACCAACACAGCAGUCUGUCUGUCCCACUGCCAACAAAAAAAGAAGCCCCCUAAUUAAUUACUGCUCCAUCUUUUGUAGUCUUCUUUGAGCUGCAACAGUUUCUGUUCACUCCUACUCUUAUUCUAACUCUCACAAAUCCUUUGCACAACUGGAAACCCGGCUUAGCAAAUCCAAUAUCGCCAUAGUCAAGCGAGGAAGGACUUGGCUCCUCUUCAAAGGGAGCUUUUAUCAAGUGUUUAGUGUGAUGUGACAAAGCAGGGAAGUGUGCCAUGGAUGCGAUGCUUCCAAAUUCCCCCCCUUCUACUGUGAUUAAACUUAAGAGCGAUUACCCAGGUUGAUGAACCUGCCAAUGUGCAUCUUGUUUACAGCUUUGCUGAGUUUUUAACAUGUUUUCCUGUUUUGGACUAGGACAGCACACUUUCGCUUUAUGCCCUCGAUAAAAUCCCGUUUAAAACAUGGAGUUUCUAAUGUUUUGCCACUAGAACUAUGGGAAGAAGAAAGCCUUUCCUGAGGUGCCCUGGGACAUCGCUGCUCAUGUGCAGUCAUGGUUGGGCCCCAGCAGACCUCCGAGGUCUUGCUGCCAGAGGAAGAAAGCUUUGGAUGGGGCCAGGAGAAAUGAAAAAGAUUUAUCCUGGGACUGUUUUAUUGUGCUUGGAACAGGCAUGCACCGUUCGGUGUGAGCGGGCUCAAGACGCUGCUGUAAAUCCCAGAUGAAAGUUUCAUGGCCUUUGCCAUUUCAUUUUGCCCUGUUUUAUUUUGUGUGUUUCCCUCUCAUCCCUGGAUUCCACUUUAUUCCUAAUUUUGAUAAAUUUAGAACAUUGGAUCAAAGUCUUAUUUAAAAAAAAAAAAAAAACCCAACAGAUUUUGGCAAUCAAUACGUUGCGAAACGUAUUUAUUUUACCAAUUUCCCAGUUGCCCAAAGAGGUCACUUUAAAAAUGACUGCAUCUGACUCGUUUUACUUGAAAAAAUCUUCUUUCAUUUUUCUCUCUUUUUUCUUUUUUUCUUCACAAGAACCAGGACAAUUUUCAGAGGAACUUUACCAGGAGAAAUGCACACCAGCACCUGGUGAAAUUUCCGUGUUUGGGUUUGAAUCUGUCAGGUUAUGUGGAGAAAAACAAAUAUGUCGUGAAUUUUCCAGUUCAGUCGCUUUGACAAAUCAAGAUUAUGACAUGGCACUGACCCGUUCUUUGCCAAGGACUCACUUGUUGCCUGUGAAGCCAUUUGUGGACAGUGGUGGGACACCAGGCCCAGUUCAUGGUUGACCAUCACUCUGUGCCAGGACUCCAAAUGA